GACGAACGCUGGCGGCGUGCUUAACACAUGCAAGUCGAACGGAAAGGCCCUGCUUUUGUGGGGUGCUCGAGUGGCGAACGGGUGAGUAACACGUGAGUAACCUGCCCUUGACUUUGGGAUAACUUCAGGAAACUGGGGCUAAUACCGGAUAGGAGCUCCUGCUGCAUGGUGGGGGUUGGAAAGUUUCGGCGGUUGGGGAUGGACUCGCGGCUUAUCAGCUUGUUGGUGGGGUAGUGGCUUACCAAGGCUUUGACGGGUAGCCGGCCUGGGAGGGUGACCGGCGACAUUGGGACUGAGAUACGGCCCAGACUCCUACGUGAGGCAGCGGUGGGGAAUCUUGCACAAUGGGCGGACGCCUGAUGCAGCAACGCCGCGUGCGGGAUGACGGCCUUCGGGUUGUAAACCGCUUUCGCCUGUGACGCAGCGUGAGUGACGGUACUGGGUAAAGAAGCACCGGCUAACUACGUG
rnacentral:rRNA from 1 species